UGGAUAGAUUAUUGUAUUCGAUUGUAUUCGACUAUAUUCAAGGCGUGAAACAAGGGAUUACACUAUUUUUUAAACGAAAAGUGAAUCAAUUAACAUAAUAGACUCCU
rfam:Nicotiana sylvestris Nsyl_contig181030, whole genome shotgun sequence.